GGGCCGCUAGCUCAAUUGGUAGAGCAUCUCCCUCUUAAGGAGACGGUUCGGCGUUCGAUUCGCCGGCGGCUCA
rnacentral:tRNA from 1 species